rnacentral:rRNA from 1 species
GACGAACGCUGGCGGCGUGCUUAACACAUGCAAGUCGAACGAUGACGACCGAGCUUGCUCGGUCUGAUUAGUGGCGAACGGGUGAGUAACACGUGAGCAACCUGCCCUUCACUCUGGGAUAACCUCGGGAAAUCGGGGCUAAUACCGGAUAUGAGCUCCUGUCGCAUGGCGGGGGUUGGAAAGUUUUUCGGUGAAGGAUGGGCUCGCGGCCUAUCAGUUUGUUGGUGGGGUAGUGGCUCACCAAGGCGAUGACGGGUAGCCGGCCUGAGAGGGCGACCGGCCGCACUGGGACUGAGACACGGCCCAGACUCCUACGGGAGGCAGCAGUGGGGAAUAUUGCACAAUGGGCGAAAGCCUGAUGCAGCGACGCCGCGUGAGGGAUGACGGCCUUCGGGUUGUAAACCUCUUUCAGCAGGGAAGAAGCGAAAGUGACGGUACCUGCAGAAGAAGCGCCGGCUAACUACGUG